rnacentral:rRNA from 1 species
AGAGUUUGAUCAUGGCUCAGAACGAACGCUGGCGGCAUGCCUAACACAUGCAAGUCGAACGAGACCUUCGGGUCUAGUGGCGCACGGGUGCGUAACGCGUGGGAAUCUGCCCUUAGGUUCGGAAUAACAGUUAGAAAUGACUGCUAAUACCGGAUGAUGACUUCGGUCCAAAGAUUUAUCGCCUAAGGAUGAGCCCGCGUAGGAUUAGCUUGUUGGUGAGGUAAAGGCUCACCAAGGCUACGAUCCUUAGCUGGUCUGAGAGGAUGAUCAGCCACACUGGGACUGAGACACGGCCCAGACUCCUACGGGAGGCAGCAGUGGGGAAUAUUGGACAAUGGGCGAAAGCCUGAUCCAGCAAUGCCGCGUGAGUGAUGAAGGCCUUAGGGUUGUAAAGCUCUUUUACCCGGGAUGAUAAUGACCGUACCGGGAGAAUAAGCUCCGGCUAACUCCGUGCCAGCAGCCGCGGUA